CGGUGACGUCAGAGAGCUGACCGCAGAGCUGAAAAACCCGCCUGAGCCUUGGCCACAAGAGCAGACGUUGGCGAAUUACAAGCUGAAAGGUCUCUGUGCUCGACAGAACAAUAUUCCAGGGUCUGGUGUGGAUCCGAAUCUAUACUGCAGGUAUCGAGUUAUCUUCCUGCCUUAUAAUCGUUACCACGAGGAAAUCAUCCGAUGGUCUCCAUUCAUAAGUGUGUUUUAUGACGUCAUCACCGAUCAAAUUAGCGAGCAAGUGAGGGCGCUGGCAAAACAGACGCUCUACACUGCUGGGAUCACACUGAAGGGAGGAACUGCCACCAACUACCUGUCCCGAACUGGCCAUGUGUAAACAUUU